GCCGUUGUAGCUCAAUCGGUAGAGCAACUGAAUCGUAAUCAGUAGGUUGGGGGUUCAAGUCCUCUCAACGGCA
rnacentral:tRNA from 1 species